rnacentral:lncRNA from 12 species
AUGACCCGCAGCUCCUGCAAACGAGCAAUGCAACAGCGCAGAUCAAGGCUCAGCCUCGCAGUCACGUCGAACAUGAAACGAAGAGGAGCUUUCACGUUUGCUCUUAAUCCAGAGCCGCCUGUUUGCAAUUCCGAGCAGCCGCGGACCUGCCCCGCUUUCCCGCUGCCCCGCGGAGGAGUCACGGCGUCCGGCCGCCCCCCCCUCCCCCCCCCGCCGCGUGGAGCCGCUGGCGCGGGGGCACGGUGGGCGGCCCGGGAGGAGCUGCAGGGCGCGGGCACCGUGGGCGGCCCGGGAGGAGCUGCAGGGCGCGGGCACCGUGCUGGUGGGGCGGGCGCGGGCUCCGCGCUGCUUGUCUCAUCGCGCUGCCAUUUGAGGGCACAAAGUGCGCAGCCUUUCUUGGGCAGGGGCUGGGGGUGCCAGUGCCAAGCCCCCCAAGGCGGCGGGACCCCUCGGCUCCUCCAGAGGAAGGGAGCUGUCGGCCACACCCGAGCCGGCUUGGAGCCCCGCAGGCUGGCAGGCGCCGCCCUCCUACUGCCAACGUCAAGUCCGUGUUUGUGGACCCGCAGGUGGAACGCGGCCGUGGGCCCCCUGGCGUGGCCGCCAGCCUCCGCCCGCCUCCCGCCAACCUCCGCCCAGCCUCCGCCGGCCUCCGCCCAGCCUCCACCAGCCUCCACCCAGCCUCGGGCCGGCCAGCCUCCGCCCAGCCUCCACCCAGCCUCUGCCCGGCCAGCCUCCGCCCAGCCUCCACCAGCCUCCACCCAGCCUCGGGCCGGCCAGCCUCCACCCAGCCUCCACCCAGCCUGUGCAGCGGGGCCCGUGCUCGCCAGCCGCCAGGGCGUCGGCCCCCCCACCCCCCCGCGGCCGCGGUCCUCGGCGGCAGGUGCUCUCGGGUGUGACCCGGCACGUGAAGGCCGCGGCUGUCCCCGGCCUCAGCUGCCUGCGGCGAGGAGCGUCUCUAAGCUGCCCGGCGGCCGCCACCCAGCGCCACCCAGCUCCGGUGCGGGCGAGGCCACCCCCUGCCGACACUCUCCUCCCUGGAGGCCGCGUCCUCCGCAGGGGGCCUGGUUCCUUCCCGGCCGCAGCCCCGCCCCGUGUACAGGGUCAGCAGCGCCCCCCCCACCCCUCCGCAUCGCGACGGGGCCACCGGGUGGCCGAGGAGCCUCAGGACGCGGGAACCCUCAAUCCUGCGGGGCAGGAGGCCACGGCGUCCAGGCCCGGCCGAGGCCCCCCAGUGCUCGAGCCCGCGCUUGCUUGACGCCGCGCGGGUCCUUCCCACAGUCGGAGGAGCCUGGCUCUCUGGCUUUCCAGAACAGACCAGCGGUGGGCUUUGGCCAAGAUGAGAUGCGGGCAGCUGAUGGUCCUUGA